CUCUGACCCGCUGUGCAGCCCCGGGCGACCCCCAGCGCUCAGGCCUCCGCGUCUUCAUCUGAGGAGAGUGGGAAAAAAUCCUUCAGAGGAAGGAGGGCUGCCAUGGGGAUGAUCCUGAAUCGCUGGUGUACCUGGAGUACCUGAUGUGUGUCUGCUCCGUGAGUUCUCUGGGCGUUGGAGCUGCCGUUGUUACUGAUGGCUGCAGCCCGUUGUUGGGUGCCUAUGGUUGCCGAGCGCUGAGCUUGACCCGGGCUGUGUGCUGGGAUCACUUCAGAGCUGCAUAAAGCCCGGUGUCCAGGGCCGCAUCCCAGACUGACUAAGCCGGGGCAUUCGGGAGCAGAACGGGCUGCCAGGAGGCGCCCAGCACGUGGUCCAGGUGUCCCAGAAGGAGCGUUCGCAGCUCCCUGGAGGCGGGAACGGAGUCCCCCGGGGAGAGAGUGGUCCAGGGUUUGCCCUCAGGCGUCCACACUGUCCGCCGGCGAGGCUGGUCCUGUUCCCAGCACCCACGCUGCUAGAGCCACCGGAUCUCCCAGGAGGAGACCCAGCUGCACUCAGAAGAAUCACGCUGGCCUAGGAGAUGGACGGCGGCGUGCGGGGACCGUGUGCGGCUGCAAAGCUGAGCUGUCGUCUUGCCUGUGGCUUCCGAAAUGCAGCCCUGGGCCCUGUGAUCGCUGCAUUUUCUCUGCGCAGCUUUGAGGGACGGAGUGUGCUGACCAACAGAAGAAAGGCAAACAGCAGAAACUGACACUGUGGUGGCCACUGGACGUGGCCUCGGUCGGCUGCGGAGAGAGAAUUUAUUUCCACAGCGACCCUCAGGAGGCGCAGGUCUUGGCCAGACCCAUUCUUAGAAAGGAACAUGAGAUCAGAAAGGCUUGUGUGUUGUUUUAAAACAAACCCUGCAUCCACUGCUCACCUAGUCCUCUGUGAGGCAGGUGACACCUCCUCCUGAAGAGAAUCGGGGCGUCCCGCAACUACCCCACUCUUCCCACUGCCUGUGCAGUGCAGAGCAGGACACACCUGCAGGGGCCAGGGGACAAGCGCUGGGUUCCGUAGAACGGUCCUGGGUCCUGUAGAGGGGUCCUGGGUUCUGUAGAGGGGCCCUGGGUUCUAUAGAGGGGCCCUGGGUCCUGUAGAGGGGUCCUGGGUUCUACAGAGGGGCCCUGGGUCCUGUAGAGGGGUCCUGGGUUCUGUAGAGGGGUCCUCGGUUCUGUAGAGGGGUCCUGGGUUCUGUAGAGGGGUCCUGGGUUCUAUAGAGGGGUCCUGGGUUCUGUGGAGGGGUCCUGGGUUCUGUAGAUGGGUUCUGGGUUCUGUAGAAGGGUCCUGGGUUCUGUAGAGGGGUCCUGGGUUCUGUAGAUGGGUUCUGGGUUCUGUAGAGGGGUCCUGAGUUCUGUAGAGGGGUCCUGAGUUCUGUAGAGGGGUCCUGGGUUCUGUAGAGGGGUCCUGAGUUCUGUAGAGGGGCCCUGGGUUCUGUAGAGGGGUCCUGGGUUCUGUAGAGGGGUCCUGGGUUCUGUAGAGGGGUCCUGGGUUCUAUGGAGGGGUCCUGCGUUCUGUAGAGGGGUCCUGGGUUCUGUAGAGGGGUCCUGAGUUCUGUAGAUGGGUUCUGGGUUCUGUAGAGGGGUCCUGAGUUCUGUAGAGGGGUCCUGGGUUCUAUGGAGGGGUCCUGCAUUCUGUAGAGGGGUCCUGGGUUCUGUAGAGGGGUCCUGAGUUCUGUAGAGGGGCCCUGGGUUCUGUAGAGGGGCCCUGGGUUCUAUGGAGGGGUCCCUGGGUUCUGUGGAGGGGCCCUGGGUUCUGUGGAAGGGUCCUGGGUUCUAUGGAGGGGUCCUGGGUUCUGUGGAAGGGUCCUGGGUUCUGUGGAGGGGUCCUGGGUUCUGUGGAGGGGCCCUGGGUUCUGUGGAGGGGUCCUGGGUUCUGUGGAGGGGCCCUGGGUUCUGUGGAGGGGUCCCUGGGUUCUGUGGAGGGGUCCCGGGUUCUGUGGAGGGGCCCUGACUCAGGGCUUGCCCAGGGGCAUGGGCUUUUCUGGCCGAUACUGCGAGGCCUGGGGCUGACAGCAGAAGAGCACGACCAUGGAGGGAGGAGGCCGGGGCUGUGAGGACCCAGGAGGGCGAGGAGCUAGGCAGGCCAUGCUGGAAGGCCUGUGUGCACCAGGGUCUUCCCGGCAGGGCUGGAGAAGACCCUCCUGGAAGGAACAGGAGGCGAGUGCAGCACCAGGUGCAAUGACCCGUCUUAUCCAUCACUACCUGGCCUGCAGGCCUGGGCUGGGAGGAGGGAGAGCAGGCAGGCCUGGGCUGGGAGGAGGGAGAGCACACAGGCCUGGGCUGGGAGGAGGGAGAGGGGUGUGCAGCUUUGCCUGCUGGCUUCCAUGUCUGCAGUGAGCCCAAGGGCCAGGAUGGUGUGGGGGAGACGCCCCCUCCAGCCAGUACCCCUGGGGCCCUGGCCCCUACUGGCUUGUCUAGUGGGAAAGGACCUUCCCAUGCACCCUGACUGGGCUUGUCAGUCCCCCUUUGUGCCUCCUGCAGAUGGAGAUGAGGGUGCAGUCGAAGCGCCCGGUGCCUGUGAGUGAGGACCCUCCCGAGCCCCUCGCUCUCCUCCGGGGACACAGGGCACCUCUGACUGCAGGCGCAGGGAGGAAGGUUGCUGUGGUCCUGGCGGCCCCUGCCGGUUUCCCAGCCUUGCUCUUUCCGCGGUUGCUUGUGGAUUGGAGUCAACCUGGGCGCCCACCUACUGGAGUCCACUGGGGUGGGCGUGGGUGGAGGGGGCCUUCUGCAGAGCUAGUGGGGUGUUGUGGGGGCCGGUGUGCGGGUGCUCGGUGCAGGCCACCAUGUGACAGGCGUGUCCGGCUCAUGCAGGUGGGACUGGGGGAGUCAUGGUUGUGAGGUAGCGAUCGCCUCAAAGGCCUGACUUUCUGGGAAUGGUAUUUUUUUGUCAGAUGUGAGCCUCUUACUAACAGCACAUGCCUCCUUCCCCCUCCCCCACAGCCCCCAUUGCCACAAACGAGGUGAUAGAGGGCAGUCUUCAGCUUGGGGUUCACUGGGAGGCUCCCCCUCUGCGUGGAGAUGGCUCGCUCUGGAAGUUCUGCAGGAGUGGGCUGGCCGCCAAACUCUCAGCACCUGCCGGCAGGGCUGCUGACUCAUGCUGUAAUGGGGACAUUGAUGUGUGAGGAAUUUAUGCAGCCGGGCGGCAGCCCUUCACUUUUCUAACAGUGAAGCACUUCACAGAGAAAACACAACGGGAUCAAAUCACAAUUAGAGUCAGUCCCAGCUCCUGCAGGGCAGCCGCAGCCUGGCGGGCGGGCGAGCACAGGGCCUCCAGCCAGCCGGUGGGGGGGAGGUUGGGAGGGCAGGGCCAGAGCUCACCCCAUAACCUGGCUUACUGGGGUGCAGGGAACAGCACGGGCAGCCUUGGGCCGAACAACCACCCCACGUUUGAUCUGGCAGAGGAACGUCCCUCUUGGUACGGCUCGUCCUGAGCACCUGCGACUGGUUGCACGGUGUUGCUUCAGCUCAGGGCGCCCUGGAAUCAGCUGCACCGUGUCCACCUCACAGCAGUCCCCAGCUCCAGAUCCUCCAGGCAGGGACCUGGGACGGUGUGGGGCGGGGCUGAGGCUCUCUGGCAGUCUGAGGCGCUGGCCGGGGCCUCACCCGAUGGCCCUCCCGCUCCAGCCUCCAGAUGCCUGCCUGGCCUUAGAGAACAAAGGUAAUUUGUAAAGAGAUCAAUAGGAAAUGCUGAUCAGACAGUCACAAUGCGCCUUUGCCUGAGGACUUGAAUUCCCGCUUCAAGAAUCUGUGGCUUCCGCUGCUCAAUGCUGGGGACAGACGUCAGGGGACUGUGGACGUCAUCGGCCGAGUGACUAUUUCCUUAUGACCAGCCUCUCUCCGAGCUGAUUUUCCUGUUCUGUGCUCUCUCAGCCAAGCUGUUUGAGGUUUGGCUCAGGAAACUAGGCCAACAAUGGAAUUCAAAGACAAUCCCACCAAAGAGAAAACCAGCAGGGUGGGCGACGCCUGGGCUCCAAGAACCGGUGGGGAGCUCCAUUUCCCUCAGAUGGAGCGUUUCCUAACCCCGGGGCAACUUUCCCGAAACAUGGCAGGCUUGCCUGACCCAAAUAGCCCCUCAUUCUUGGCUGCACUUGUGACCACCGGGCCGAGCUCCUCGGAGGCGUGGACAAAGGAGGCCUUGGCGAGAACAGGGUUCGGUGGCCAGUGGGUGGAGAAGUCGGUGCUGGCUGCGCCGUGGAGCCCGUGGAUCAACAUUUGCUGAGGACCUCAGUGCGGAAAGUCGUGGUCGCACUUCCUUCCGGGUCUGCUGAGCUGCCACUCACGGCGGGAGAGUUGGGACGUCCUGGAAUUCUGGAAAGCCUCCUGCUCUGAAGGAGUUCAAGGUUUUCCUGUCCGGUCUGACAUCCCCAGACGUUUGCCCUGCUAGGGCUGGAGAAAGGUGUCCAGGCAUUGAAGGAACAAUUUGAGGGACAAUCUGGCUUUUUUUUUUUUAACAGUUCUUUUCUAAACACCUCAGAAUGAAUGAAACAAAGUCCUAUUUAUCACUAGAGAUGAAGACACAUCCCUGAUUUACGUUGCCACGUGGGGAGAAGUGCUUUGUUUCUACUCAGCAGAAGGAGACAGGGGCAGGCGGGAGGAGCUGUCUCAGGAACACCAGCCUGGGUUUCCCACCCUCCCUGCUGUGGCUCUCAGCUGAUCCGAGGCUGGCCCAGGAGAGGAGGGAAGCAUGCCUGAGACUGCUCUGUCUUUCUGCUCCAGCAACAGAGAGCCAAAGAAAAGACACGAGGCCCAAAGUAUCACCUUCUAAAUCACCUCCCUCAGCUACUCCCCCAGGAUUUCCAAAUACCCAGGUUCCCCUCGGGAGCUGCCUGGAGCUGCCUCUGCCGCCCGCUCCUCUAGGCGUCCAUGAUGAGCCCAGGGCUUCCCCCUCAGGAACCAAACCGAACUGACUGUCUUGGUUUUCUCCUUGUUCUCCACGAAUCCUCUGCACAUUUUAACCUUCCAGGCAGCAGCUAUGAAUCCGUUCCCAGAGCCAGGCUAGACAAUACAACACCCAUUUCCCAGCUGCUUGCAGCUCUUGCAUUAGCUGGGAAGCAGAUUUACCUUAAGGGAAUUUACCACCCUUAGAAUUUUUUUUUUUUAGAAAAAUAUACAUUUUUUCUUUCCUUUUAAAAAAGCCUUCAGGCUCUUGCUAACUUCACAACUGGAGCCCUAUCAGAAAAAGGCAAGUUGUCAAAUGGCAAAUAUGAAGUCCAUGUUGUUGAAUUGUGAGCGCCGGGGGAGAAUAGAGGGGGCUGUGGAGCUGUCUCGGGGUCAGAGCCCUGCGGAGACGCCAGGGCUGGGCGGGCCUGAGACCUCCGCCUGCAGUCAGCAAGGCCCCCUUGGCUGAUGGACCUGAGAAUUUCUGUGUUACUUCUUUUUAUUUCUGCAUGCUUCACGUCACACAAUUUUCGAAAAGUGGCAAUAGAACCAAAUGAUAAAAGCAAUUCUAGGAUAGAGCGUCUUGCUUUCAUAUGAACAGCAUUCCAUCUAAGACGGUUCAACACUUCCUAAUUCCUGUCCACCAUCUUCAGGGUUCCUUGGAGUGGUGGCCCCCUGGUGACCAGCUGGCACAGUGAUUUGAUCAUGUCCUCACAGCUCCUGUGUUGGAAAUUUAAUCCCCAAAGCAACGGUGUUGGGAGGUGGAACCUUGAGUAGGUUCUGAGGCAGCAGUGCCCAGCAGUGCCCGCCCCAGGUGCCCCGUCAUGAUCCCUGGGUCCCCAGCCCCACCUGCCCAUCUCUCUCCAGCUCCGGCUUCACUGUGUACUGGGGAUUAUGGAGAUGAUGUCACGGAACUUUCUGGGAUUCUCCCGUGAAUUGCCAGAGGCAGCACCUGGAUCACUGUGUACACUGAUGGCAGAGUUUGCAGCUCCUCCAGCAGCUGCUGCCCAGGCCGCCCUCCACCCACACUCACCCACAUGAGGGGCCUGAGGACUCAGGGAGGGAUUCCUCCUCCCCAGAAGCCACUGGGAAGUGAGUGAGGCUCUGUCUGCAUUGCAGGUAGUGGAGGGGCGGCUGGCAGCAGGCUUGCUGGGGAGGGUGAAGCUCUGUCUACACUGUAGGCAGUGGAGGGGCAGCAGGCAGCAGGCUGGUGGGGUAGGUAAGUCCCUGUCUACCUGCAGGCAGUGGAGGGGCAGCAGGCAGCAGGCUGGUGGGGUAGGUAAGUCCCUGUCUACACUGCAGGCAGUGGAGGGGUGGCAGGCAGCAGGCUUGUUGGCGAGGGUGAAGCUCUGUCUACACUGCAGGCAGUGGAGGGGCAGCAGGUAGCAGGCUUGGCAGUGAAUGAGCCUCUGUCUACACUGCAGGCAGUGGAGGGACAGCAGGCAGCAGACUUUUUGGGAGAGGUGAAGCUCUAUCUACACAGCAAUCACUGGAGGGGUGGUGGGCAGCUGGCUUGUCAGGUAGGUGAGGCUCUGUCUACACAGAAGGCUUGUGGUGGGGGGCGAGGCUCUGUCUACACUGCAGGCAGUGGAGGGGUGGCAGGUGGCAGGCUUGUGGUCGGGGGUGAGGCUCUGUGUACACUGCAGGCAGUGAAGGGGCAGCAGGCUUGUGGGGUGGGUGUUGUCCCACGCCCUGCCCUUACCCUCUGAGGCCUUUUUCUUGCGUGAAGCAUGAAGGGCGACUUUGCGGCUGGAGCCUGGUCCCGCUUCUUCCCAUGAGUGUUUUGUUUUCCCUCCUGCGUGGUUUUUAAAUGAAAGAUGAGUAGACAUGUGCAGGCAGCAGCUUCCUGAGCUCAGUCUGCAUUCCUGUUGGUCUUGGUGGGGACAGUGGCUCUUCACCCCUCCCCCACCUAAUGCUCACCUGGUGUGUCCACUGCCUCAAGACCACGUGGGGGACUGCAGGUGACAGAACGGCCCCCUCGCUCUUUCUCGCAAAUGCAUAGGGACUGUGCACAGGUGCUCUCUGCCUGGAAAGAAGUGGCCGUUGGGCAGCUCAGGAGAGACUCGCACCACGGCGGGGUGGCCUCCUACCUCAACGCACCUGGGGAAGAUGUCCCUCUGUUUGUGUAGACAAACACACUCCUCCUACAUCUCAGCUGCUUAAAAAAAUACUUAGGUAGUUCUACUUCUGACUUAUUAUAUGUAGAUACUUGGGAAAUUAAAAAAAAUCUGAGCCUCAAAUUGGUUAGGAAUUUACAGGAGAGAUUUCAGGCAGGUGUGCUAUGGUUGUCUGUGUGAAGUAUAACCAAGCCUGGCAUUGCCUGUGAGAUCCAUCGGUGGAGGCAGAUGGGCACCGCGGCGUCAGGAAAGGGAAUCCUGGCUGGGUUGCAGCACGGGCUCCAGCUGGCUGGGCCUGGGGUACGUGUUGGUAGAAGGCAGAAGGAGUUGGUGGGAGCCACAAAAUGGUAAAAAAUAAACAGGAGAAGCUGUCUCAGUGGGGAAGGAGGUCGAAGUGUGGGCCAGUGGGCUGGCACAGAAGAGAGUGUCACGGGGCGCCCACAUCCUGUGCUGGCCCAGACAGGCAGCUAAAGAGGGGUCUGCGGAGGAGAGGAGAACCCGCCCACACCUCAAAGCGGCCACCAGGGCUGACGGCUCAGGGACAGGAUGGGGAGGAGGAGGGAUGGGGCUUCCGGCAGAGCUGUCCUGCUGGCUGGAGAGACGCCGGCAGAGCCAGCAAGCGCCAGCCAAACACUGAAGGGUGGAUUUAGGGCCCAACCAGCGGAGAGCAGCAGUCUCUGGGCACCAUCGGGGCGAGACCUGGGACCUGGAGGGGUGUAAAAACUAGAGGCGUGUCCAGGGCCGAGCUCGGGGGGUAAAUGGAAGCGAAAGCUUGGUUCUCUGAAUGAGAACUUCGGAAAUUUCACACCUGGUCACAACUGAGGCUUGAAUCGGCUCAGGAGGAAGCGUCCGCUCCCCACACACAGCAGCAGCCCCACACGAGCUGUGGGAGAGGCACGCAGAGACCUGUGCCCUGCCCUUCAUUUCAUACUUAACUGGAAACACAAUACUGAUCGGAACCUUCAGUUUUAGUCAAAGCUGGAGCGAUGAUACGUUGCUGCCAACACUAGAAACGGAGCUCCUGUGGGCUGUCAGCUGAAUCAGAGUCCAGCGUUGGCUUAGCCCAGCACAGGAAUGGCCUUGCCAGGGGCUCCCUGUGCUGGGAUCGGCAGUGACCUUGGGUGUGACCUCCUGGUGUGUUUUUCUCUAUUUGCAGCCAUGCGCACGCUGGCUGGGAGACCACGGCGCUGACCUGAUGGCUGGGUCUUUCCUGCUGCCUGAGCUGCUGUGGAGAACAUUUCUCAACAGCGUCCCCACUCCUGCCUGGCCAUCGAGACACUGCCCUUGUUGGGACCAAGGUCUCCCUAUGUCCGUCCUGGCUGCACCUGCGGGGCCCCUGGCUCCACCUGGUCCUGGCUGUUGCCUUGCUCACCCUCUGACGCUCACAUGUCCAUGCUGGCUGGUGGCUUCUUGAUGCUGCAAGCUUAGUGAACACACAGGAAUCCUGCUCCUAGGGCCAGCACACCCUCCGUGGCUCCUUCCUUGGCCUCACUGUAAAGCAAGCUGGCAGCAGAGUCAGGGCUCUGGGACGUCUGAGAAAUCUUGGGCACCAAGCGGCCCCCCGGCCUCCCCUUCUCUCCUGUUUCCUCCUCUCUCAGGCUAUGCUUGGCAUUUGGGAACCACGUGGCACCGUUGGCUCCUCCCUCCUGCUGCGGUCAUGCCAGGAUGCUGCUGCCUGGCCCUCAUCUGUCCGGAUCGGUGCCGCCUCCUUUUCUUCCCCGGGAGAGAAACUGGAGUCCCAGUUCUGAGGCCUUGCUCCGAGCUCGGUACCCUCCUGUGCCGACACCUGCCCCUGUUGUCCUGUUGGGACCUUAACAUUCUGCAGCCAACCUUUGGACUAAGUGUGUGCAGAGUCUCCAUGCCGCGUCUUGCCCCCGAAGACUGGCCCUGCCUCCGCAGGCCUGGCUGCCGUCUGGGUUGGUGUCCAGGGAGUGGGUGUCGAGCUCUCCCUCAGCUGCCACAGCCCAGACCUUCCUGACAUUGCUGCUUGGAGCAGAGGCCUGGGCGCGACCCCUCUGUCUUGGCAGAGGGGGUGACUCUCACUUCGUGUUUGUCAGGGAAGAGGUGAAGUGUUGAGAAUCUGGUCCUUGGAGUGGGCACAUCUUUGGGGAGCAGCAGGGCCUGCUUCAGAGUUUGUUUCCUAAAUAAAACAAUGGCUCUCCAGUGACUUCUCCUGUGCCCUCGAUUGUUUUUGAGGCUGUUGCACUUUUAAAGAGCAGUGUGUCCACACCACCGUUCCUGUGGGCCCACUGUGGGGACAGCUGCUGAACCUUCCAGGACACACCUACAUACCUCAUCCCACCUACACCUCUCACCCUCCUACACACCUCACCCUCCUACACACCUCACCCUCCUACACACCUCACCCUCCUACACACCUCACCCUCCUACACACCUCACCCUCCUACACACCAAACCCUCCUACACACCUCACCCUCCUACACACCUCACCCUCCUACACACCUCACCCACCUACACACCUCACCCUCCUACACACCUCACCCUCCUACACACCUCACCCUCCUACACACCUCACCCUCCUACACACCAAACCCUCCUACACACCUCACCCUCCUACACACCUCACCCUCCUACACACCUCACCCUCCUACACACCUCACCCUCCUACACACCUCACCCUCCUACACACCUCACCCUCCUACACACCUCACCCUCCUACACACCUCACCCUCCUACACACCUCACCCUCCUACACACCUCACCCUCCUACACACCUCACCCUCCUACACACCUCACCCUCCUACACACCUCACCCUCCUACACACCUCACCCUCCGCAGUGUGCUUAUCACCACUGCACCCACGCUUGUGGCUGCAAGGAAGUCCCUGGCUGAUGUGAGUCCUCCUCCCACACACUGGGGCCCAUGGCUUUGGUGUCUAGAAAAGAAUGACAAUAAGGUCAGUACAGGGCAGGCUGGUCAGACCACCUU
rnacentral:lncRNA from 1 species